rnacentral:lncRNA from 1 species
UCCAGCUUUUCAGUUGAUUGCUCAGCUCGUCCAACUUCUCAGUUAACAGCUCAGCUCGUCCAAAUCGUCCCCAAGCUAUCCAGCACGUCGACAGAUCGCCUAGCUGCAAAUAUGGUCUAGCUCCCACUUAUUGUAAUAUGAACUACGAAUGGCUUGAUCCCUUUCUAAGGAUACGUAGGCAGUCUUUCACAAGGCGCAGCUAUAAAACAAAUAAACUCUAUGUUUAUCACGAGAACGGCCUAACUC